rnacentral:rRNA from 1 species
CCUACGGGAGGCAGCAGUGGGGAAUAUUGCACAAUGGGCGAAACCCUGAUGCAGCGACGCCGCGUGAAGGAUGAAGUCUUUCCGUAUGUAAACUUCUAUCAGCAGGGAAGAAAAUGACGGUACCUGACUAAGAAGCCCCGGCUACCUUCGUGCCAGCAGCCGCGGUAAUACGUAGGGGGCAAGCGUUAUCCGGAUUUACUGGGUGUAAAGGGAGCGUAGGCGGUUUAGCAAGUCAGAAGUGAAAGCCCGGGGCUCAACUCCGGGAUUGCAUUUGAAACUGUGGAACUAGAGUGCAGGAGAGGUAAGUGGAAUUCCUAGUGUAGCGGUGAAAUGCGUAGAUAUUAGGAGGAACACCAGUGGCGAAGGCGGCUUACUGGACUGUAACUGACGCUGAGGCUCGAAAGCGUGGGGAGCAAACAGGAUUAGAUACCCUUGUAGUC